CCCGGCGCCGGCCCCGCCCCGCCCCGCGCCCAGGGGUCCCGGGGCGGGCUCCGGGCUUCGGGCGGACGAUGCGGCGGCGCGGCCGGAGCGGCGGCGGGAAGCGGAGGCGGAGGUGACGCGCGAGGGCCGGCGGGCCGGGCCAUGCAGCGCUCCCGGGCGGCCGCGGACGAGGCGGCCCUGCUCCUGGCCGGGCUGGCCCUGCGGGAGCUGGAGGCGGGCGGCGACUCUCCGGGCCGGGGUCGGCGGGGGCCGCGGCCUGGGCCGGGAGACGAGGCGGCGCCGGCGCUGGGCCGCAGAGGGAAGGGCGGCGUCGGCGGCCCCGAGCCCGGGCCGGACGGACCGAGCCGCGCGGAGAGAGGCCCGCGGCGCGCGGCGGCCCCCGAGCUCAGCACGCAGCCGGCGAGCAGCCCGCGGGCCAGCCUGGAGGGCUCCGACGGCGGCGGCGGCGGCGGCGGCAGCGCCCGCUCGAGCGGCAUCAGCCUGGGCUACGACCAGCGCCACGGCAGCCCGCGCCCUGGCCGCGCGGACCCGCGCCCCGGCCCCGGGCCGCCGUCGGUGGGCAGCGCCCGCUCCAGCGUGUCCAGUCUCGGCUCCCGCGGCUCGGCGGGCGCCUACGCCGACUUGCUCCUGCCUGGCGCCUGCACGGCGCCGGCUCGCUCCCCGGAGCCCGCCGGGCCGGUCCCCUUCCCUUUGCCUUCGCUGCAGCUGUCCGCGGCCCGGGAGGGCGGCCCGAGCGCGGCCGAGCGGCGUCUGGAGACGCUUACCCGGGAGCUGGAGCGGGCGCUGGAGGCGCGCGCGGCGCGGGACUACUUCGGCAUUUGCAUCAAGUGUGGGCUCGGCAUCUACGGGGCAAGGCAGGCGUGCCAGGCCAUGGGCGGCCUCUACCACACGGACUGCUUCACCUGUGACUCCUGUGGGAGACGGCUCCGCGGGAAGGCGUUCUACAACGUGGGUGACAAAGUGUACUGCCAGGAGGACUUCCUGUACUCCGGGUUCCAGCAAACAGCUGACAAGUGUAGCGUGUGUGGACACCUCAUCAUGGAGAUGAUCCUGCAGGCCCUGGGCAAGUCCUACCACCCAGGCUGCUUCCGGUGCUCUGUAUGCAACGAGUGCCUGGAUGGGGUGCCUUUCACCGUGGACGUGGAGAACAACAUCUACUGUGUCAGAGACUAUCACUCGGUUUUUGCACCAAAAUGUGCCUCCUGUGCCCGUCCUAUCCUCCCUGCACAGGGCUGUGAGACAACCAUCCGUGUAGUGUCCAUGGACAGAGACUACCACGUGGAAUGUUACCACUGUGAGGACUGCGGGCUGCAGCUGAGCGGGGAGGAUGGACGCCGCUGCUACCCCCUGGCGGGCCACCUGCUGUGCCGCCGCUGCCACCUGCGACGCGUCCGGCCAGGCCCACUGCCCUCGCCCACAGUACACGUCACCGAGCUCUGAAGAGCCGGCAGAAGCUUGCCCUGCUUUCGACGAAGUCUUUGCUGCACUUGGCCUUGGAGACAAGCACCUGUUGGACGCCGUCCUCAAAGAGUUCAAGGCUACCGAACCAGAAAUAACAGCCUUUGAAAAAGUCCAGGAAUGUUUCAAUGAGGGGGGUAUCAAAGGCAAGACGCUGGAUACGUUCAGCAUGGGCUCCAUUGCCUUUAGUCCAGAAUGCCUCAGCUUCGCAGGAAAAGAGCUAAAGGAAGAUGUCAAAAAAGGACUUUCCAAACUGAACCCUUUUUCGAGAUGAAUCUUUGUCACUCAUGCCUGAUGUGAGCACCAUCUUCCUGCCAUGCUCUCCAUCCCACCUGAA